AUGCCUAGAUGAGUCUCCCAACUCCAUAAACA
rnacentral:tRNA from 1 species